rnacentral:rRNA from 1 species
AUGGCGGAGGAACCGUCUACCAAGCGUCACCAUGGCGAGACGUCGAACAAGAGCAGCAACCUCGUCGACAUUCACGUCCCCGGCGAGAAGCGCGAGUACACCAGAACGCUCAAAGGGGUUGAGCUCCACGGCAAGGAGACGCCAGAGAUCGUCUGCACUAGCAUACCAUACAAGGCCGACGAGGCGAUGAGAAGGCUCAGGAUGAAGGGCGGCGGCUUGUAUCCGAGCUUCGUCGGAGUUGAUGUGGAGUACACCAACCAAGAAGAACCUCCACAGAUGGCGGCAGUCCUGCAGUUGUGUGUCGAGGAACUCUGCUUGGUAUACCACAUCGCAGCAGCCACAAAAUGGCCCAAGCGCCUCAAAGACUUCCUGCAGGAGGAGACAUUGUACACAUUUGUCGGUUUCAGCAUUGGAGGUGACAAGUAG